rnacentral:rRNA from 1 species
AUUGAACGCUGGCGGCAGGCCUAACACAUGCAAGUCGAGCGGAUGAAGGGUGCUUGCUCCUGGAUUUAGCGGCGGACGGGUGAGUAAUGCCUAGGAAUCUGCCUGGUAGUGGGGGAUAACGUCCGGAAACGGGCGUUACUAAUGCAUACGUCCUGAGGGAGCAAGUGGGGGAUCUUCGGAUCUCAUGCUACAAGAUGAGCCUAGGUCGGAUUAGUUAGUUGGUGGGGUAAUGACCUACCAAGGCGACGAUCGGUAGCUGGUCUGAGAGGAUGAUCAGUCACACUGGAACGGAGACGCGGUCCAGACUCCUGAGAUAGGCAACAGUGGGGAAUGUUAGGCAAUGGUGGAGAGCCUUAUCCAUCCCUACCACGUGUGUGAAGAAGGUCUUCGGAUUGGAAUGCACUUUAAGUUGGGGGGAAGGGCAGUAAGUUAAUACCUUGCGGUUUUGACGUUACCAGCUGAAUAAGCACCGGCUAACUACGUG